rnacentral:tRNA from 1 species
GCUGGUGUAGCUCAGUCGGUAGAGCGACGCACUCGUAAUGCGUAGGUCGCCGGUUCAAGUCCGGCCCCCAGCUCCA